rnacentral:misc_RNA from 1 species
UCCUACUUUCGCAGGCAGUCUCGCCAGAGUGCCCCCGAAGGGUAGCAACUGACAACAGGAGUUGCGCUCGUUAAAGGACUUAACCUAACAUCUCACGACACGAGCUGACGACAGCCAUGCAGCACCUGUGCAUACGCUUGAGCAAGCCCAAGAGACCAUGUUUCCAUGGCGGGCAUAUGCAUGUCAAGCCCAGGUAAGGUUUCUCGCGUAGUAUCGAAUUAAACCACAUGUUCCACCGCUUGUGCGGACCCCCGUCAAUUUCUUUAAGUUUUAAUCUUGCGACCGUACUCCUCAGGUGGACCACUUAUCGCGUUAGCUGCGACACUUAGCCUGAUCGGCCAAACGUCUAGUGAUCAUCGUUUACAGCGUGGACUAC